GACAGCGUGGUGUAAUGGUUUGAGCAUUGGACUAUGACUCUGGAGACCAGGGUUUGAAUCCCAGCUAAGCCA